ACAACACGUGCCUAAGAAAUGCUAUUCAGGCUUUUGCUUAUGGGGUAGACAUCAUACCAGGCAAAAAUGCAACUGUCCCAAAUGCUUUGGCAACGUCUCCUGAUUGUACGGAGAGCUUCACAUAUCCCUCUGUCACUUUCCCAAAGAAUGUUGAACAAAGCAGUGGUGGCCUGGCCCGGGGAGAAGCUUGCUCUCUCUAUCUGUGUGCCAACGUCUUGGCUCUGCUUCCCAGCCCAGCUUUGGCUCUGAUCCUGGUUCAGCAUGUCUUGUAGAAGUGCCAGGAGGAGGAAAAAAAAAAGAGGUCAUGCAUCCACAAGCCGAUCCCAAAUGCAGAAGGUGUCAUUUCUGAGCCUCGUAUAAAGAAGGUCAAAUCUCUGUUGUCAGUUGACAUAAAUGACAUUUGUGACGAGGGGGAGAACAAAAGGGAGACGAGGAGCAUUUUGAAAUUUCACAACUGUGACUAUGUUGUUCAUGUGAUCUGUCUGCCGUCAUUAUGGAGAACCAGGCUUUACUGAGGAUCUCUUGCCA